AUUGAACGCUGGCGGCAGGCCUAACACAUGCAAGUCGAACGGUAGCACAGAGAGCUUGCUCUCGGGUGACGAGUGGCGGACGGGUGAGUAAUGUCUGGGAAACUGCCUGAUGGAGGGGGAUAACUACUGGAAACGGUAGCUGAUACCGCAUAACGUCGCAAGACCAAAGAGGGGGACCUUCGGGCCUCUUGCCAUCAGAUGUGCCCAGAUGGGAUUAGCUAGUAGGUGGGGUAACGGCUCACCUAGGCGACGAUCCCUAGCUGGUCUGAGAGGAUGACCAGCCACACUGGAACUGAGACACGGUCCAGACUCCUACGGGAGGCAGCAGUGGGGAAUAUUGGACAAUGGGCGCAAGCCUGAUGCAGCCAUGCCGCGUGUAUGAAGAAGGCCUUCGGGUUGUAAAGUACUUUCAGCGGGGAGGAAGGUGUUGUGGUUAAUAACCGCAGCAAUUGACGUUACCCGCAGAAGAAGCACCGGCUAACUCCGUGCCAGCCGCCGCAGUAA
rnacentral:rRNA from 1 species